GACGAACGCUGGCGGCGUGCUUUACACAUGCAAGUCGAACGGUGAAGGUGGAGCUUGCUCCGCCGGAUCAGUGGCGAACGGGUGAGUAACACGUGGGCAACCUGCCCCUAACUUUGGGAUAACUACUCGAAAGAGUAGCUAAUACCGGAUAUGAAGUCUGUAGGCAUCUAUGGAUUUGGAAAGUUUUUCGGUUAGGGAUGGGCCCGCGGCCUAUCAGCUUGUUGGUGGGGUAGUGGCUCAGCAAGGCGACGACGGGUAGCCGGCCUGAGAGGGCGACCGGCCACACUGGGACUGAGACACGGCCCAGACUCCUACGGGAGGCAGCAGUGGGGAAUAUUGCGCAAUGGGCGAAAGCCUGACGCAGCAACGCCGCGUGCGGGAUGAAGGCCUUCGGGUUGUAAACCGCUUUCAGCAGGGAAGAAGCGAAAGUGACGGUACCUGCAGAAGAAGCACCGGCUAACUACGUGCCAGCCGCCGCCGUAAGAC
rnacentral:rRNA from 1 species